rnacentral:lncRNA from 1 species
GCGCACACAACUCACAAGCAAUCAAUGUUGAUUUGCAUAGCGCACCAGUGUGUCGCAUAACUAAAUUAGGUUGUUUCGCAUAGCGCAAACGAUUUCGCAAGGCGAAUUAUCUCGCCUAAAAACCCAGUUCUCCUAGUCGCAUAGCGGAAACGAUGCGCUACACGAAUUGCAAGACAGAGAGCUUCUCCCUGGAGCGACUCGCUAUGCGAGGCAAUCCACAUAGCGAGUCUACAUGAUUUGCAGAACCCAGCUCUGCAGAAUCAUGCAACUCAUGCCUCUCCAACCAUUAUUAACCCUCUAACCUAACUUCUAACACCUCUAAUUCGUGAUAUGGGCCUAUUUAAACUUGUUUGGAUAGAUUUUAUCAAUUAUACAGUGAUUCUAAAGUGAUUUAGGCUUGAAUUCAACUUCAAAACAUCACAUCCUAUGACCUAUGGACUCUAAUUCAAUUAUACCAUUUCUAAUGUGUUUUAGUUCGAUUUUAUCUGCCUAACAAGUCACAAUUGACUUCUCUAAACUGUCCAAACAGACCAAAUGCACCUAGCCCUCCAAAUACUCAAAAUCACUCCCUCACUUCCCCUUAGCCACCCCCAAAGUGUUUCCCAAUUACGAAGUUGUUUAUCUAAUUGCUAUAAUAGUAGUGAUCUCAUUUUCCCCCAACCCUCCUUACAUC